rfam:Ictidomys tridecemlineatus contig099260, whole genome shotgun sequence.
GCUCCCCCUCUCUAAUCCUUGCUGUCUGGGUGCUAGUGCUGUCUCAAUGCAAUGCACCUGGGCAAGGAUUUAGAGAGGGUGAGC